rnacentral:rRNA from 1 species
UACGGAGGGGACUAGCGUUGUUCGGAAUUACUGGGCGUAAAGCGCACGUAGGCGGAUUGGAAAGUUGGGGGUGAAAUCCCAGGGCUCAACCCUGGAACUGCCUCCAAAACUAUCAGUCUAGAGUUCGAGAGAGGUGAGUGGAAUUCCGAGUGUAGAGGUGAAAUUCGUAGAUAUUCGGAGGAACACCAGUGGCGAAGGCGGCUCACUGGCUCGAUACUGACGCUGAGGUGCGAAAGUGUGGGGAGCAAAC